rnacentral:misc_RNA from 1 species
AAAGUCGUAACAAGGUUUCCGUAGGUGAACCUGCGGAAGGAUCAUUACAAAUCCACAAGUCACCCUCACCGGUCGACAACGUUGAACACCCACCCCCGCUUGAGGGGGGGGAGGAGGGAGGUUCCUCACAGAGGACCCCCCUUCCCCCGCCCGACGGCACCCUAUUUGACCCCAGGCUGACACACAUUACCACGAUUGUACCAACAAACAAACAACCUAGAAACAACUUAUAACAAUGGAUCUCUAGGCUCUU